ACUCCUACGGGAGGCAGCAGUGGGGAAUAUUGGACAAUGGGCGCAAGCCUGAUCCAGCAAUACCGCGUGCAGGAAGAAGGCCUUCGGGUUGUAAACUGCUUUUGUACGGAACGAAAAGGUCUUGGUUAAUACCUGGGGCUCAUGACGGUACCUGCAGAAAAAGCACCGGCUAACUACGUGCCAGCAGCCGCGGUAAUACGUAGGGUGCAAGCGUUGUCCGGAAUUAUUGGGCGUAAAGAGCUCGUAGGCGGUUUGUCACGUCUGCUGUGAAAAUCCAAGGCUCAACCUUGGACUUGCAGUGGGUACGGGCAGGCUAGAGUGCGGUAGGGGAGAUGGGAAUUCCUGGUGUAGCGGUGGAAUGCGCAGAUAUCAGGAGGACACCAAUGGCGAAGGCACAUCUCUGGGCCGUAACUGACGCUGAGGAGCGAAAGCGUGGGGAGCAAACAGGAUUAGAUACCCUGGUAGACAUCA
rnacentral:rRNA from 1 species